CUGUCGGGGAGGGAGGGGGAAUCCAGGGGACCCUGUAGCAUCCGCACCUUGCCAGCGGGACCCCAUUUCCUUUCUACAGUCUGUGCUGGCUUGGGUUUCAGAAAGAGAUCACAGGGUCUUCGGCAGGAAGAAGCGUCAGCAGCACACAGCUAAAAUCGUUUCCAAAGCAGAAGUCGGCCUGUGCUAGGUGGUCGGGAAACAAUGAGGGUCUGCCAAGAUUUGUCCACUCUUAAUGUAAAGGUGAUUUGUGUUAAAGGGCUUACAGAUCUGUGCAGGUGGCAGAUGAAAAUACACCUCUGUGCUUGUGUGGUCCUCCAGAAGCCGAUCUUGAUGCAGAGAUUAGAAUCAGGAAGUUUGGGCGGUGAAGGAAGCCCCAGCCUUGGGAAUGAAGACAUGAGACCACCGGAACGAAGGGAGCAAGCUCCAGCCACGCUGUGCAGCUGCAGCUUAAUCGCACUGGGGAAAUUCAGGAGCAGGGGACAACAACCUCUCUUCUGUUUUCAAAGGAAAUACAGCAGCCUUCAGCUCAGCUGCAAACCUGACGUCGAGAGAUUUUCAAAAUACAUGUGCAGGACGGAGCUGGCUGUCAUACUUGCGUUUUCCCGAGAGGAAUCCCACAGCUUCCCUGGAGCAGGGGCCCCUCCUGUGUUUAGUUGAGCGUGGCUUGCAACAUGCACGCUGCCAGUCACCCUUAUGAUUGCUAUGGGACUGGUGCGAGGGAUCAAUCUUGGAGAAUGUCCGCCAUUCACUACGCAGGGAAAUAGAACGAUGUGUAAAAUAUUCCAAUGCACCAACACCUUACUGCUAUAGGAAAUAGGACCUGGUCAUUUCCCAGUAUCAACUGAGUUGUGAUCUUGUGGCCGCAGAACUAUCAGAUCCACUGGAAGUCAGCUGUAGGACAGUACCUAUGGUCCAAAUAAGUGAAAACCAAAAAAUAAAAAGGGAAGGAGGGUAGUGUAUGGGAGGCUGGUGGUGCUCAGAACAGAGUUCGCCACAAAACUUUUCCUUGAUCCAGAGUUCUGAUGAGUUCAAUGGGUGUACUGGGAGGCACUGACAGCAGACACAGGGUCAGGGCGUCUUGUCGCCUCCCCUGCCUGCCUUUGAGGUUCCAGCAGUGGCUGCUCACCUCCACGAUCCGAGGCCCCAGGAACAGCUGCUCUGUCAUGGUUCCCGCUCCCUCCAGGCUCUGUAACAUUGGGCUUUCCUCCCCCAUCUGGAGCCCAAGGGCUGGAACGGCUCCUCGCUGUCCUGGUCUCUGGGUGCCUUGCUAGCCCCUUCCUGGUUUCCUGAGCCUGCCCACACCGCUGAGAAUAAUCCCGGCAUUAUCUUUGCUUCUGUUAAAUUCACUGGAGUGGACUUUUUCCUGACAUGACCCUGACUCAUACACUUUGUUCAUUGUUUUCCUAACAUGUCUUUGUUAAAUGUGCAUCAGAAAUUAGGAUUCCAAAGAGUCUCUCAGAAAAAAAAAAAAAAGUCAUAACUGGCAUCCUCAGACCAAGUGACAGGAAGAGGCAAAAACACCGUAUAAAAAGCAGCAACAGCUGGGCUGGCGCUGUGGCGUAGCCGGUAAAGCCACCGCCUGCAGUGCCAGCAUCCAUAUGGGUGCCAGUUUGAGUUCCGGCUGCUCCUCUUCUGAUCCAGCUCUGCCGUGGCCUGGGAAAGCAGUGGAAGUCGGUCCAAGUAUUUGGGCCCCUGCACCACGUGGGAAACCGGGCAGAAGCUCCUGGCUCUGGAGAGGUCCAGCUCUGGCUGUUGCGGCCAUCUGGGGAGUGAACCAGCAGAUGGAGAACUCUCCCUCUCUCUCUCCUCCUCCUCCUCCUCCUCUCUGUAACAGCACCUUUCAAAAAAUAAAUAAAUCUUAAAAAAAAAAAAAAAGGCAGCAACAGGGAUAGGCAUUUUAGCAAGUUAACAUGCUUGGGAUGCCUGCAUCCAAUACCACAGUUCCUGGUUACUCCACUUCAGAUCCAGCUUCCUGCUAACUCACACCCUGGUGGGCAGCAGAUAAUGGCUCAAGUACUUGGGUCCUCCCACCCACAUGGGAGAUCUAAUGGGUGGGGUUAGAGGAUUCCUGCCUCCCAGAUGGGUUUCUGGCUCCUGGCUUCAGCUGGUCCAGCCUUGCUGUUGCAGCCACUUGGGGAGUGAACUAGCUGGUGGAAGAACUCUCUCUCUCUCCCUUUCAAAUAAAUUUUUUAAAGAUUUUAUUUAUUUAUUUAUUUAUUUAUUUAUUUAUAUGAGAGGUAGAUUUAUAGACAGAGAGAAAGGUCUCCCAUCCACUGGUUCACUCCACAAAUGGCUGCAGCAGCCAGAGCUGCGCCGAUCCGAAGCCUGGUGCCAGGAGCUUCUUCCUGGUCUCUCACGCAGGUGCAGGGGUCCAAGAACUUGGACCAUCUUCUACUGCUUUCCAAGGCCAUAGCAGAGAGCUGGAUCGGAAGAGGAGCAGCCAGGACCAGAACUGAUGCCCAUAUGGGAUGCCGGCGCCGCAGGCAGAAGCUUUAGCCCACUACGCCACAGUGCCUACCCCAUCAAAUAAAUAAACUUUUAAAAGGCAGGAAUAGAGAGAUUCGAGACAUACCCUGUUUGAAGUAUUUAGUGAAGGCAUUUCAGUGGUCUUGGAGGUCGUUGGACUUUUUGGAAUGUACCUUUUAAUGACUCCAUGCCGAGGCCCUAUGGAAGUAAGACUAAUUUUUACUAAAAAUUCAGGUUUGCUGGGAAGCCCUUCAGCUCCUGACUGCUCUCACUGAUGGCUGUAAUCCCAGGAAAGGAGGGAGAGGAAGCCUCGUCUCGCCUUGGGCAGGUCCCCACAUGCUGCAGCUGGCAUACACAUUGGCACACGUAAAACCAGCCCGCUGGCCACAGGUGCUGGCUCAUCUCGAAGCUCUGACCGCAAAGCCAGCAACUACACACCGGCAGUCUGUGCAGACGUUACACCUGCUUGCCUCCGCCGCCCCGCACGGCCACAGGCUGGCUGUUCUGAACAAAGGCGCCGCCUCCGCGAAUUGCACUUGGAUGAGUUGGAGAAGCUGCUGGAUGCUGCCCGGGCCGAAUGGGUUUAGCUAAUAAGAAAAACAAACAGUGACUUUAGGAGAAAGCCGAACACGUGACUGCAAUGCUCCGCUGAUCCUUCUCUACUCACAAUCAAGUCCCAGGUGUUUCCCUGUG